AGAGAUUUAGGCUAAUUAUUAAACCCAAAGCUUUCAAAGCUUUAACUAAAAGUGAAAAUCUUUUAAUCUCUU
rnacentral:tRNA from 1 species